rnacentral:misc_RNA from 1 species
AAGUCGUAACAAGGUUUCCGUAGGUAUGUUAUAUCGAAAACCCUCUCUACAGUCUUUUGUGAUGUAUACUAAUUAUUUUUACAGGUGAACCUGCGGAAGGAUCAUUACUGAGUUAGGGUCUUUAUGGCCCGACCUCCCAACCCUAUGUCUACACUACCAUGUUGCUUCGGCGGGCCCGCUUGCUCGUCACAGAGCGGCCGCCGGAGGGUGUCAAACCCCUCUGGCCUGUGCCCGUCGGUAGCCUACAUAAAUUCUUUAAUUAAACAUGUUGUCUGAGUACAAAAGAAAAUAAAAUAAAA